rnacentral:misc_RNA from 1 species
AACAAACAUCGAUUCCAUUGCUUUUUUUUAAAAGUGAUGUCGUCGGAUUUGAGCCGUCUUUUUUUUAUAACUAAGUGGCUUAAAAUUGAUUUUUUUGGUAUGAUCGAAGCGUAUUUUAUGAUCAAAUUUUGGUUAAGGAAACGCACACGUACCGUCAUUUUAUAUGAUGUAAUACGUUUGACUAUCAGAUUUAGUUCAUUCGUAUACGAUAUUUUUCAAU